rnacentral:lncRNA from 1 species
GGCUAUUGUGUAUAAUGCUACAGUGAACAUAGGGGUCACGGCUUGCCAAGCGGUGUAUAUGUCCGCACCCGGGAUCCAAACCGGCAAUCCCCAGGCCUCUGAAGUGAAACGUAGGCAGUUUCCAAUGCAGGUCAUAUAAGAAUCACAUUCUUUGAAGAAACGUUCCACAGGGGAAGAAACCAGAGAAGGUGGUGAAAUAGACAUCAGAAUAAUACAUCCCCCCACGUGCAAUAAAAUCCACAAAUACAACACCACGCCUCUGAUCUCCCAUUCUAUCCCCAGAGGUUUGCUCAAGCCAGGCACACGGAAAACUUACAUCAAACUCCUCACUUCCAAGAUCAGAGGAAGUCCAAGCUGUCCCUCAAGGAUUCAGAGGAUUCCUUGGAGUGAAGAGAUGGAGAAGAAGCCAGAUAACAUUCUCAUAGCCCCAGCUGAUCCUGAUUCCGUGAAGGAAGUUACCACAUUGAUGCAAACUUGAAAUCCCACUUCUUCUCUAUUGCCUUCCUCCACGGACACAUGCAAAAAUAGACAGACAAUCACACAAAAAUUCAC